CUACGUGCCAGCAGCCGCGGUAAUACGUAGGUGGCAAGCGUUGUCCGGAAUUAUUGGGCGUAAAGCGCGCGCAGGCGGAUUGGUCAGUCUGUCUUAAAAGUUCGGGGCUUAACCCCGUGAUGGGAUGGAAACUGCCAAUCUAGAGUAUCGGAGAGGAAAGUGGAAUUCCUAGUGUAGCGGUGAAAUGCGUAGAUAUUAGGAAGAACACCAGUGGCGAAGGCGACUUUCUGGACGAAAACUGACGCUGAGGCGCGAAAGCCAGGGGAGCGAACGGGAUUAGAUACCCCGGUAGUCCUGGCCGUAAACGAUGGGUACUAGGUGUAGGAGGUAUCGACCCCUUCUGUGCCGGAGUUAACGCAAUAAGUACCCCGCCUGGGGAGUACGACCGCAAGGUUGAAACUCAAAGGAAUUGACGGGGGCCCGCACAAGCGGAGGAACAUGUGGUUUAAUUCGAUGAUACGCGAGGAACCUUACCCGGGCUUGAA
rnacentral:rRNA from 1 species